GAUGAACGCUGGCGGCGCGCCUAAUACAUGCAAGUCGAGCGAGAAGACGUAGCAAUACGUUUGUAAAGCGGCGAACGGGUGAGGAAUACAUGGGUAACCUACCCUAGAGUGGGGAAUAACUAGCCGAAAGGUUAGCUAAUACCGCGUACGCUCCUUGGACUUCGGUUCAGGGAGGAAAGCGAUACCGAGGGUAUCGCGCUCUUGGAUGGGCUCAUGUCCUAUCAGCUUGUUGGUGAGGUAACGGCUCACCAAGGCUUCGACGGGUAGCUGGUCUGAGAGGACGAUCAGCCACACUGGCACUGCGACACGGGCCAGACUCCUACGGGAGGCAGCAGUAAGGAAUAUUGCGCAAUGGGCGAAAGCCUGACGCAGCGACGCCGCGUGGGGGAUGAAGGUCUUCGGAUUGUAAACCCCUUUCGGGAGGGAAGAUGGAACGAGCAAUCGUUCGGACGGUACCUCCAGAAG
rnacentral:rRNA from 1 species